UACGUAGGGGGCUAGCGUUGUCCGGAUUUAUUGGGCGUAAAGAGCGUGUAGGCGGCCAGGUAGGUCUGCUGUGAAAACUCGAGGCUCAACCUCGAGACGUCGGCGGAAACCAUCUGGCUAGAGUCCGGAAGAGGAGAGUGGAAUUCCUGGUGUAGCGGUGAAAUGCGUAGAUAUCAGGAGGAAUACCGAUGGCGAAGGCAGGUCUCUGGGCCAAUACUGACGCUCAUGCACGAAAGCGUGGGGAGCAAACAGG
rnacentral:rRNA from 1 species